GUGGGGAAUAUUGGACAAUGGGCGAAAGCCUGAUCCAGCCAUGCCGCGUGUGUGAAGAAGGUCUUCGGAUUGUAAAGCACUUUAAGUUGGGAGGAAGGGCAGUAAGUUAAUACCUUGCUGUUUUGACGUUACCGACAGAAUAAGCACCGGCUAACUUCGUGCCAGCAGCCGCGGUAAUACGAAGGGUGCAAGCGUUAAUCGGAAUUAUUGGGCGUAAAGCGCGCGUAGGUGGUUCAGUAAGUUGGAAGUGAAAUCCCCGGGCUCAACCUGGGAACUGCUUUCAAAACUGCUGAGCUAGAGUACGGUAGAGGGUGGUGGAAUUUCCUGUGUAGCGGUGAAAUGCGUAGAUAUAGGAAGGAACACCAGUGGCGAAGGCGACCACCUGGACUGAUACUGACACUGAGGUGCGAAAGCGUGGGGAGCAAACAGGAUUAGAAACCCUGGUAGUCC
rnacentral:rRNA from 1 species